rnacentral:tRNA from 1 species
AAUUCGAUAUUCUAACAAAUGAUGUUUGAUUGCAAAUCAGACGAUGUCUUAGCAUAAGACUCGAAUUU